GGAAUCUAGGAAAUGCAGCGUUACCACGGUGAACAGAAGACUGACGUGUCGCCCACUUCCCGGGGCGGGACGUGGAGGCCGCCGGGCGCCCGGGGAGGGCGCGCGCCUUGGGGACCCGCUGUCAUGAGCCUCCGGGCCGGAGGCGGCAGCAGCGCACGACCCGGCCGGACACAAUGUAGCGGCGGCGGCGCGACGGGUUACAAUGUAGCGGCGGCGGCGGCGGUCGGGUGGGAUGCUAUGGAAUAUGAUGAGAAGCUGGCCCGGUUCCGGCAGGCCCACCUCAACCCCUUCAACAAGCAGCUUGGGCCAAGGCAGCAUGAACGGCAACCUAGUGAGGAGGCCCCAGAUGCUGCAUCUGAAGAGAUCCUGCCUGAGCUGCCCCCCGGGGAGCCCGAGUUCCGCUGCUCUGAACGAGUGAUGGAUCUUGGCCUGUCUGAGGACCACUUCUCUCGCCCCGUGGGUCUGUUCCUGGCCUCCGAUGUUCAGCAACUGCAGCAGGCGAUAGAGGAAUGCAAGCAGGUGAUUCUGGAGCUGCCUGAGCAGUCAGAGAAGCAGAAGGAUGCGGUGGUGAGGCUCAUCCACCUCCGGCUGAAACUCCAGGAGCUAAAGGACCCCAAUGAGGAUGAGCCCAACAUUCGGGUCCUUCUUGAGCACCGCUUCUACAAGGAGAAGAGCAAGAGUGUCAAGCAAACCUGUGACAAAUGCAACACCAUCAUCUGGGGGCUCAUUCAGACCUGGUACACCUGCACAGGAGGAGCAGAGAGCAAUGGCUGGAGCAUCAUAUCUGUGGCGAGGUGUGGUGGAAGUAGGCUUUUCUGCAGAGCCAUCUGGGUGCUGAAUUGCCUUGGACUCUGGCUGCUGAGGUGUUACUACCGUUGCCACAGCAAGUGCUUGAGCCUCAUCUCCAAGCCCUGCGUGAGCUCCAAAGUUAGCCACCAGGCUGAGUACGAGCUGAACAUCUGCCCCGAGACUGGGCUGGACAGCCAGGAUUACCGCUGUGCUGAGUGCCGGGUGCCCAUCUCAUUACGGGGCGUGCCCAGCGAGGCCCGGCAGUGCGACUACACAGGCCAGUACUACUGCGGCCACUGCCACUGGAAUGACCUGGCUGUCAUCCCCGCACGAGUGGUGCACAACUGGGACUUCGAGCCCCGCAAGGUGUCUCGCUGCAGCAUGCGCUACCUGGCGCUGAUGGUGUCCCGGCCGGUGCUCCGACUCCGGGAGAUCAACCCUCUGCUGUUCAACUACGUGGAGGAGCUGGUGGAGAUCCGGAUUGAUGGUGAUGAAACUGUUCUGAAGCAAUCUGAUGCCAGGCAUGGAAGCAAUUUAAAAAUUUCUAGUAGCCUUAUUAAAAAGAAGCUGCGCCAGGACAUUCUGCUCAUGAAGCCAUACUUCAUCACUUGCAAGGAGGCCAUGGAAGCUCGUCUGCUACUGCAGCUCCAGGACCGGCAGCACUUUGUGGAGAACGACGAGAUGUACUCCAUCCAGGAUCUGCUGGAUGUGCACAUGGGCCGCCUGGGCUGCUCGCUCACCGAGAUCCACACACUCUUCGCCAAACACAUCAAGCUGGACUGUGAGCGGUGCCAGGCCAAGGGCUUCGUGUGUGAGCUCUGCAGAGAGGGCGAUGUGCUGUUCCCAUUUGACAGUCACACAUCUGUGUGUGCCGACUGCUCAGCCGUCUUCCACAGUUUAAAUGAGCCUGCAGAGCCCCACACUCUCUGCAGAGCCCUGGCAUGCCUUGAUGCACAGUUUGGGAACCAUGGGUAGAGGCUCCACAGUGGCAGAACAGGUGGAGACAGUCAGGAAGCUAAGAGCAUGAAGCCUGAGCGUAACUGUCUGGCUGAGCCCCUCCAGCUGGAGCCUGCGGUGUUGGGCGGUGUGAGGACUCUCAGCAGAGGCACGUGCACGGGUCUCAAGGGACUGCUACUAUGACAACUCAACCACAUGCCCCAAGUGUGCCCGGCUCAACUUGAGGAAGCAGUCACUCUUCCAGGACCCUGAUCCAGACGUGGAUGCCUAGAGCACCAGGCACCCCACCUCCUCAUCUGGCACCCACCCCACUGGCAUUGCCAAAGUCAGGGUUCUGUUUCUGCCCUGAAGACCCUUGGGUGCAUCCUCUGGAUGUCUUCACUCCUGCUGGGCCAGAAGCGGGUGAGCAGUGCCCACCAGGACUGAUGAUCUCCAGGUGCUUACUGGGACUUGGGGCAUGUGCACCUGGCUGUUAACUUGGUGUGCUGCUGUGAGGGGUCACAAUGUAGCCCCUACCCUCCACCUCCACUAUAAGACUCCUUGGACAGGGUAUGACUUCCCAGGGGAAUAGGGAAGAAACUCUUACUUCCCCCAUGGCAUAGCAUUCCCCAAUCCCCUAGGGUCAAGGCUUUUGGAUCCUGGAGAUGCCCCUCCCUGCUUCCAUCCAGGCCACUCUGCAACUGGUCAGGCAAAGAUCCCCAGAGGGAUCCAGAGGAGUGACCAGUGAGACCUGAGCAUGCUGACUGUGGACACCCAGCAUCAGGCCUGUUUCAUCUGCUCUGGCAGAUGCUAGAAGACCAAUCCUUCUGGUCCCUUGCCUCUUUGGGAACUUCUGAUCAUCCCUGGCUGGGGCUCUUCACAGUUCUGUCCAUGGGCUGCCCCACCUCCUGAGGUUCUUCUAAGUCAUCCAUAGGCAGUUCAGUCCAGUGGGUCCCUGCUCUCCUUGCUAUGGUAAGGGAGACUUUCUGCCAUGGGGUUUUUCUCUAUUGGGUAAACUUGCUGCUGCUCUUGCUCUGGCCCAGCCCACCUUAUCCUGGUGCUCUGAGAUGAAUAGUGGUGGGUCCAGACCACAGAGGGUGUCCUGGCCUCCAGGUGUGUAGCAGGAACUGGAUCUCUGGGGGAGGUUCCAGGUCAGUCAAAAGAGUUGGUUACAGUAGGACUGUGUGGCAUUUCUUGGGACCACAUUUUUCCCUGGAGCUGUGUUCUGCUGCCAAUCUGGAAAGCUCCAGAUUGACUAACUCCAGAAAGCUCCAGAGAUGACUCACUGGCAAGUUUUUGUUUGGGGGCCUGCGACCUGAAAAAUGGGAAUAUUUGCUAGAGGAAGUGCCAAGCAGGUCUAGAGUCCAUGCGUGAAUGCCCAGACCUGGAAGGUGGACAGGACCCAAGGCUCUUAGUGGGAAGGCCACAUCCAGCCUUGGCGUUUGCACUUUACAGGUCCUAGGAUGGGAGGUUGCAGGAUGGGAUGUCAGGACAUGGCAUCCUAGUCAUCUGUCUCUGGACAGCAGGGAUUGCUUUUGUCUGUCCCUUUCUUCCCCACCCUGGACUGUGCUUGGCUGUGGAUAUACACAGGUGGGUGGGCAGAGGACAGGUGAUGACCAUCCAUCAACUAUGACUAAACCCAAGAGACACUUCAGCCAGCAGGAUGUAGCCCAGCUUGCUGGUCCAUUCUGGGGGGAUGAACACAGCAUCUUCCCUAUCCCUCUGUGCCGCCAGGUGGCUUUAGGCAGACGCUUUCUGUGUUUUGCCUCAGUUUCCCCAUCUGGAAAAUGGGGAGAGUGGUAUAGACCUACCUCAGGGUGGAACAGUGACAAGGGGACAUGUUGAAAUCCUUUAAGGACUGUGACAUGAGGUCGGGUCAGUGGUGGUUCCCUAUCCUGCUUCCCCUUUCUCUUUGGGAUUGAACAGGGGGAUCAAAGGCCAAGUGCCCUUUUCCUACACCCCUAAAUCUGCACGUCUCUCACCACUGCAUCACAUUGCUGUCAUAUGGAUGUUGGUCAUUCCUGAAUCUCCUGUGUAGUCAGCAUCAUGAUAUUCCAGUUACAAAUCAUUAUGUUCAUAGAACACACUCAUAGACUGGCAUUUGUUGGACAAAGCAUUUGAUCCCCUUUUUAGGUAUUCCUCAUUCCUCCCACAACUAGCAUUCUUUAACUCACCUCUAUACCUUGUCCCCCAACACCUCUUCUCUACCUGCCCUUUCUGGAUGACAGUCUUUAAGUAGAAUCACGUGUGGGACCUUCUACCAGUCACAGCAUGGUAGGAAGAACCACAGCCAGAAGCUGAUUUGCAUGGCCAGCAUCUUACAGAAGACCACACCCAAAGGGACCCACAGCAUGGAGCCAGGGUGGCCUGAGGAAGGCCCAGUCACAGCAAUGCCACCAUCUCUGUCUCAUUAAAUGUGUUGUCUAGACUCUGGUGUCUGUGGUGAAUCUGGGACAGAGCAGAGUUAGUUGACAUAAAAGCCAACAGUAGGGGAAGGAAACCUCAUGGCCUUCCCCAUCUAGUAGGCUAACUGUAUCUGGUUUGGGAUGAAGUAACUGAUAGGGUGGAAGAAGUGCUUAAGUUGGUGUCAGACAGCUCAAGGUCUAAGCCUGCUCUGGUGGUGUGUGCAGAGCUUGCAUGAUUUAUCUCAGCCUCCUCGACCACACAAAUCUCCAGGAAGCAUUCAGCAUUGUGCCUUCCAUGUAGAAAAUGCUUGGUAAAAAAGAAGCGUCUCUCUGAAGUCCUUAGAAGGACUGGCUCAAUAAGUUGUGCAAUACUGGCCCAUCAUGUAAUCAUGACAGGUUCAGCCAGAGUCCCAUUCUGGCUCCUGGAACAUCAUCCAUCUUCACAAACCAGACCCAAUACAAGGACCCUCACAGCAGCUCAAGGCCAUUCCCCUUGUCCUUAAAUAGGGAUUAUUAAUGGAUGGUGUUCAUGGGGUCCACAAAUCCCCUUCUAAAUUAGAUUCAAAACUCUAGGUGGGCAUUCUUCUGCAGAGAUGUGAUCUACAGUUUUGACUAGGAGCUCAAAGGGGCUAUGAUCCAUAACAUAUCAGGACUCUGCUUUAGAAGGUGUCUUUACACAUUGUGCAUAUGCAACUGCAUCCAGAUGGACUACUGUGCUGCAACUCUGUGCCCCAGAGAAGCCCAAGAGCAUAUCUGCUUCUUUCCUUCUAUUGGAGCAUCCCCAGAAGGGUGAGAGGAAGCGCCUUCCAAGGCAAUUGUGGACUGGGGUGCUGACUGUGCCUCAAACAACUAAGUAGCUAAAGUUGGGACAUGAGAUGGAGGGUGAAAUUUCCCCCCUUUCAGGUUAUGCCUUUUUUCUUUUAAUGUUUUCAUUUUGGUAAAUUGAGAUUUACAGGAAAGUUAUAAAGUUAUAAAAAUUUCCCCAUUUCUCCAUCUCCUGGAUUCUCUAAAUGUUAACAUCUGGCCCCAUGUGCUUUAUCUUCUUCUUUUACACAUUCUGCUCUGAACCACUGGACAUCAAACUGCAAACAGCUUGCUUCUAGACUCUUCCUUUUCUGUGCAUAUGUCUGUGUGCCCUCUCCCACGGGGACACUGCCUUUCAUGGCCACUGUGCAACUAUCCAAGGAAAUUAACACUGGCACAGUACUAUAAAACCUAUAGCAAAUCUUAUUCAGAUUUUGCAAGUUUUCUAAAUGUUUUAUAGUCAACCUCCUUUCCUCCCAACUCUCACAUUACAUUCAGUUGCCAAGUCUCUUUAGCCUUCUUUAAUCUGACCAAACACUGACAUUUUUGAAAAGUGCAUGCAGACAAUUUUUGGUAGUGGUUGUUGGUAAUCACACCUAGGGACCUCACACAUGCUAGGCAAAAUGUUCUAUUAAGCUACAUUCCCCAGCCUCCAGACUGACUAUUUUGAAGAAGAUUCCCUUACCCCAGUUUGGGUUAGUCUCACAUAUUUGAGUUUUGUAUUCCACAGCAGUGAUGCUGUGCCCUUGUUGUGACCUGGAGGCACACAAUGUACGUUUGUCCCAUUGCUGGAGACCUGGCUAAAGUAGUGUCUGCCAGGUUUUUACAUUAUGAGGUUACUAUUUAUCCUUUUGUCAUAAGUAUCCUUUUGUAAGUAUUCUGUGGGGACAUACUUUGAGUUUAUAUAGAUAUCCAAACUUCCACCGAUUUUAGCAUCCACUGAUGGUUCCUGCCUAACUCAAUUCUGAUGAUGCCACUGCCAAUUGAUGACUGGAUAUUUGCCAUCCUAUCUACAUUUAUUAGUUGACUAUUAUAUGGAAGAGCUCUAUCUCCCCUUCUGUUUAUGUACACAAGUUUCUACUUUACUCGUUGGGUUACGAUCCUUUACUGCAGUCUUUUGAUGCUUAAGUGUCCUAGAUUAGGCCAGUGGGAGCCUUUCAACCUGUUUCCUGUGUCCUCACGUGCCUUUUUUUUUUUUUUUGGGGGGUGC